rnacentral:piRNA from 1 species
UAGACAUUUGCUAGGUGGUGGAGAGGGAAG